CUGAAUAGACCCCAGUUUCACGUCAUAGUGCUAACAUGGAUUAGCCGAUACGCAGUUUUCUAAACAUAAACUUUUGGGUUUGAACUUUCUUCAAACUUCAAAUUUUAUCAGCUGACACGAAAACGGAACUUUUGUUUUUACUGAAUUCUACUUACCGGUUACGGUCGACAGACCUUCGGUAAUCGUUUGCAUGUGUUUUCAUAGAGCAAAACAAAACUGUUGACAGGUUUUCCUACAUUUACGGUAUGUUUACGAGAGUAGAACCAGCCCUUUAUUAAUACAAAAAGUUACAGAACAUAUGUAUGUAACACACACAUCGUGUGAUAGCUGAUUGACCAAUGUAUUUCGAUAUUUUUUUAUUAAAUUCAAAAACUGAUUAUGGAAUUUCAUUGGUUUCAGUUUUAAAUUUUAUGUUCAAAAAAAUUUGAUUUUGCAUUUAGAACUCAAUUGAAGCGGAUGCUUCGAGUUCGGUGCAUAGUCAUCGUAUUUCAUCCCGUGCAAUUAUAACUGUACUCCGUCGUUUAUUCUGUGUAUAAAUACACACGUGUUAAAUUAACAGUUGGUGCGGAUUAUGGAGGAAUACUCUGCAGUGAUAAAAAAACACAAUUCAAUGUCAAAAAAAAAAUUACAAUGUGUGGAUACGCGUAACUGGCAAAUAAAUGAUCAAAAAUUAAAGCAAUAGUCCUUAGAAAAUUUGUUCUCCACAAAAAGUUAUGGUGGUGAAUAUUUUCUCUGCAAUCACAGGGGGUGGAUUGUGUCACAGGAAGUUCUUUUUAAACUCAACCUAUGUGUGUACGUUGAGUUUUUGACUUAGUAUACAUUGCAAAGAAGGUUAAGGAGAUUGGAUAAAAUAUGAAUUUGAGAAGGAAAUCAAAAUCUUGUUUAAGAAGGAGACACACAUUGAAAUUAUUAGUAGUAACACUCCUCUUGUUUGUUGCGACAUACCAUUUAUACCGGAUCCAAUUAACUGACUCUGGAAAUAUAAUGGCAUCAUGUCAGUCGAUUGAUGUGGUAUACACUUGGGUUAAUGGUUCGGAUCCUGCGUUUGUCCACUCUAUAAGCCAAUUCGAUAGCAACUAUGACUCCACGAGGUUUGAUGACAAAAACGAAUUGAAAUACUCUCUAAGGUCGCUGGAAAAAUAUGCUCCCUGGAUAAGACACAUUUAUAUUAUUACAAAUGGCCAAAUUCCCAAGUGGUUAGAUCUGUCUAACAAACGCAUAACAAUUGUUCCCCACGAGUUUCUGGUAACUAAACUGGAGUUGCUGCCGGUUUUUUCAAGUGCUGCUAUCGAAACUUUCAUUCAUCGAAUACCUAAUUUGUCGCCGAGAUUCCUUUAUUUAAAUGAUGAUAUUUUUCUGGGUUCAGAUUUAUAUCCCGAGGAUUUGUACACUAAUUCAGAGGGAGUACGAGUAUAUCAAGCAUGGCUUGCUCCGGAUUGCGCUCUAGAUUGUCCGUGGACAUAUAUAGGAGACCAUACAUGUGACCAACAUUGUAAUAUAAAACAAUGUCAGUUUGAUGGUGGAGAUUGUAAAAAUGAAAACAAUACCCGCACACAUAAGAAACAAAGCAAACCAGAACAUACUUUUACCAAAAUGACCAUGCAAAAUCUUAAACUAAAUGCCAAGAAAUACACAUUUCCUUUGUCAAGGAAAAACAAGUUUACAAGUUUUCGAGAUAUUAUAACAACAAACAAACAUAUUAUGAACAAGACUGAAAUGAAAACUGUUGUCGAAAACUUCAACAAACAGCUCCAAUAUAAGGAGCUUGCCACAGAAGUAGGGGCAGUCAGUGAUGCAUUAACGAUUUCAAAUACACCUGCAAUUAGAAAUGUGGCUCCGUCAUCCGACAUAUUUUCCCAGUCCCUUAUCUACACCAAUAUGUUGUUAAACCGUCGAUAUGGAUUUAAGGCGCGUCAUGUCAUAGGCCAUGUUGGGUUUUUACUAGAAAAAUCUAUCAUCGAACAUAUACAAAAAGAAUUCUACGAGGAAAUUUUGACUACAGCAAAACAUCGUUUUCGAGCUUCAGAUGAUUUGCAAUUUUCUUUUCUUUAUUAUAAUUUUCUUAUGGAAGAAACUUAUACCUUAAGCGUUGAUCACAUAUUCAACGAGAUAGAUACGGACCACUCCCUAACAUGGUCCGACCGCGAAGUAAGAACGUUUUUGGCAAGAAUUUUCCCCUUACCUUUGGAUUGGUCUGCCGUUAGAUUCUUCGAAGAAGUCAUACAAAAUUGUACUUUAAAUGCGGUGCAUAUGAGAGCUGACGAUACUCAAUACAGUACCGUAAUAUAUGAGCGUUACGAAGACUCGCACUUGCCCACAGUAACACGGGACCUAGUUAAAAAUUGCCCUCCCCUCGUUGAAGCACUAGAAUCCCACUUUGCCAUACGCAAUAAAUACAAGUUCAAAAUACAUUCGAAGCGAAACUUGCAUAGCAGCUUUAUGAUGUUAACAUCGAAUGUGACAGAUGUUGUUGAAGCCUUAGACAGAAUACGCAGAUCUCCAAGCUUCACAGGUGAGUCAUCUUGUUCCCGUCCAUAGGACCGAUCGUCAUAGGCAGACAUGAAACCUCUGUGCUACGGUGGCCUACGUUCCUGCGGGUAUUGAUUAUUUAAAGGACCCAAUAACUCGCCUUGUCAUAUAAAUCAUCAUAGUCAUUCAGUAAGCAAGAGACGGUGCAACACAAACUCCCACCGAGGCUCUCCAUUCGAUAUCGCUGAUUGUCCGCGAUUGCAUUGUGGCUACUCCGUAUGGAACAUUCCACUAUCCGCAAGCUGUGGACGCGCCCGGUAGCUCUCGACUGAACUUCUUGUGACUAAGAAAAACACCACUCAAAUUGAAGCUCAAAGUUCCAGCCUGUCUGGUGCUUAUAGUUAUCCCGUGCCGAGAUAUUGACAUAGAAUGUGUGAAAGUUUUUCAUCUACUGCAACUAACCAUAUUUUUAAAAGGCAGUACUUUUUUCGAAGUUAUCCAAUUGAUUUGUAUACAAUUGAUUUGAAAUAAAAAAAAUAUAAGAUCUUGGAUUUUUUGUAUAAAUCGAGCCUCCUACUUUGCAAUAUAAGUCAUUUUUAAUACUUUGAGUGAAACUUCUUUUUUAAUAAAAUAUUCUUUAUUGAAUGAGAAUGAGAAUUUUUGUCGUACAAACGAUUCGCUGACUCAUUACAAUCAUCAAUAACUAUCGGCGGUGUGGAUAUUGAGCAGUCUGACGCUCUUGAUUUUAUGGGCAUUUGAUGCCUUUUGCUCAAACCAUAUUUUCGAAGUGCCCUACUUAAGAGCAGAGCGAAAAUGGAAUAUAACUCAAUUUUAUAAGCAGGAGGUUCCAGGGCAUCUUUGGAGCUACUGGACUGUGGGAAAACGACAGUGAAUAUGCUGAUUGGGGACAAAAAUUUAAUUGCAUUAAUGAUAAUAUGGAUCCCCGCCACGAGGAUAAUAAGUUGAUACGGCACUUAUUAGAUGAUUUC